rnacentral:rRNA from 1 species
CCUACGGGAGGCAGCAGUGGGGAAUUUUACGCAAUGGGCGAAAGCCUGACGUAGCGACACCGCGUGAGCGAAGAAGCCCUUUGGGGUGUAAAGCUCUGUCGGCUGGAACGAAAAAAAUGACGGUACCAGCAAAGGAAGCAUCGGCUAACUACGUGCCAGCAGCCGCGGUAAGACGUAGGAUGCGAGCGUUGUCCGGAUUUAUUGGGCGUAAAGAGUUCGUAGGUGGCUUGUCAAGUUUGAUGUUAAAGAUCGGGGCUCAACCCUGGGACUGCAUUGAAUACUGGCAGGCUUGAGUGUGGUAGAGGCUAGUGGAAUUCCCAGUGUAGCGGUGAAAUGCGUAGAUAUUGGGAAGAACACCGGUGGCGUAGGCGACUAGCUGGGCCAUAACUGACACUGAGGAACGAAAGCCAGGGUAGCGAAUGGGAUUAGAUACCCCAGUAGUCCUGGCCGUAAACGAUGGAUACUAGGCGUAUCGGGUAUCGACCCCUGAUGUGCCGCAGCUAACGCGAUAAGUAUCCCGCCUGAGUAGUACGGCCGCAAGGUUGAAACUCAAAGGAAUUGACGGGGGCCCGCACAAGCGGUGGAACAUGUGGUUUAAUUCGAAGCAACGCGAAGAACCUUAC